rnacentral:rRNA from 1 species
GAUGAACGCUAGCGAUAGGCUUAACACAUGCAAGUCGAGGGGCAGCAUGGUCUUAGCUUGCUAAGACUGAUGGCGACCGGCGCACGGGUGCGUAACGCGUAUGCAACUUGCCUCACAGAGGGGGAUAACCCGUCGAAAGACGGACUAAUACCGCGUACACUUGGGAUAGGGCAUCCUGACCCAAGGAAAUGAAAUUCGCUGUGAGAUAGGCAUGCGUCCCAUUAGCUAGUUGGUGAGGUAACGGCUCACCAAGGCGACGAUGGGUAGGGGAACUGAGAGGUUGAACCCCCGCACUGGUACUGAGACACGGACCAGAAUCCUACGGGAGGCAGCAGUGAGGAAGAUUGGUCAAGGGGCGAGAGCCUGAACCAGCCAAGUCGCGUGAAGGAUGACUGUCUUAUGGAUUGUAAACUUCUUUUAUACGGGAAUAACAAGAGUCACGUGUGGCUCCCUGCAUGUACCGUAUGAAUAAGCAUCGGCUAACUCCGUG